rnacentral:lncRNA from 1 species
GUCUGACAGAUACACCAAGCCUGACAGACUUGUACACCUUACAAUCCUUCCAUAAACCAAAUAGACAUUUAGAGACAUUUUGUUUCUAGUAUCUUAGAGGAGGAUCCACCAUUUGAAGAGUUACACGGACUAUGAACCAUGAACAAAAACAGAUGAUGCAUGCCAGCCAGACAUGCAAACUUUACAAUCAAUCUAAAUAAAAG